AUACGUAGGUGGCAAGCGUUGUCCGGAUUUAUUGGGCGUAAAGCGAGCGCAGGCGGUUCUUUAAGUCUGAUGUGAAAGCCCCCGGCUCAACCGGGGAGGGGCAUUGGAAACUGGAGAACUUGAGUGCAGAAGAGGAGAGUGGAAUUCCAUGUGUAGCGGUGAAAUGCGUAGAUAUAUGGAGGAACACCAGUGGCGAAGGCGGCUCUCUGGUCUGUAACUGACGCUGAGGCUCGAAAGCGUGGGGAGAAAACAGGAUUAGAGACCCUGGUAGUCCACGCCGUAAACGAUGAGUGCUAAGUGUUGGAGGGCUUCCGCCCUUCAGUGCUGCAGCUAACGCAUUAAGCACUCCGCCUGGGGAGUACGGCCGCAAGGCUGAAACUCAAAUGAAUUGACGGGG
rnacentral:rRNA from 1 species